GUCGGGGAAGUGCCCCGUGAAAAGCGUUGGGCGGCUUGGGACGCA
rnacentral:sRNA from 1 species